CAGUCGCCGCGGUAAUACGAAGGGUGCAAGCGUUACUCGGAAUUACUGGGCGUAAAGCGUGCGUAGGUGGUUGUUUAAGUCUGCUGUGAAAGCCCUGGGCUCAACCUGGGAAUUGCAGUGGAUACUGGGCAACUAGAGUAAGGUAGAGGAUAGUGGAAUUUCCGGUGUAGCAGUGAAAUGCGUAGAGAUCGGAAGGAACAUCUGUGGCGAAGGCGACUAUCUGGGCCAUUACUGACACUGAGGCACGAAAGCGUGGGGAGCAAACAGGAUUAGAUACCCGUGUAGUCCCUUUCUCUUAUAC
rnacentral:rRNA from 1 species